AUACGGAGGGUGCAAGCGUUACUCGGAAUCACUGGGUGUAAAGCGCGCGCAGGCGGCUAUUUAAGUUGGAUGUGAAAGCCUACGGCUCAACCGUAGAACUGCAUCCAAAACUAUUUAGCUAGAGUGUGGGAGAGGAAGAUGGGAUUAGUUGUGUAGGGGUAAAAUCCGUGGAGAUAACUAGGAAUACCAAAAGCGAAGGCAAUCUUCUGGAACACUACUGACGCUGAGGCGCGAAAGCGUGGGGAGUAAACGGGAUUAGAUACCCUAGUAGUCC
rnacentral:rRNA from 1 species